GAUUAACGCUGGCGGUGUGUCUAAUACAUGCAAGUCGAGCGAGGCUUCGAGCCGAGCGGCGGACGAGCGAGUAACACGUUACUACCUGCCCCGAACUCAGGGAUAACCCACCGAAAGGUGUGGCUAAUACCGGAUAGUCCAGAAAUGGUAAAGUUUUUCGGUUCGGGAGGGGGUUGCGGUCUAUCAGCUUGUUGGUGAGGUAAAGGCUCACCAAGGCUACGACGGAUAGCUGGUCUGAGAGGAUGAUCAGCCGCGAUGGGACUGAGACACGGCCCAUACUCCUACGGGAGGCAGCAGUAGGGAAUCUUCCACAAUGGGCGAAAGCCUGAUGGAGCAACACCGCGUGGUGGAUGAAGCCUUUUGGGGUGUAAACACCUUUUCUGAGAGAAGAAUUCUGACGGUAUCUUAGGAAUAAGCACCGGCUAACUCCG
rnacentral:rRNA from 1 species